UACGGAGGGGGCUAGCGUUGAUCGGAAUCACUGGGCGUAAAGCGCACGCAGGCGGAUCGAUAAGUCGGGGGUGAAAGCCCGGGGCUCAACCUCGGAAUUGCCUUCGAUACUGUCGGUCUCGAGUCCGGGAGAGGUGAGUGGAAUUCCUAGUGUAGAGGUGAAAGUCGUCGAUAUUAGGAAGAACACCAGUGGCGAAGGCGGCUCACUGGCCCGGUACUGACGCUCAGGUGCGAAAGCGUGGGGAGCAAACAGG
rnacentral:rRNA from 1 species